rnacentral:snRNA from 1 species
GUGCUUGCUUCCGCAGCACAUAUACUAAAAUUGGAAUGAUACAGAGAAAACUAGCAUGGCCCCUGCACAAGGAUGACAUGCAAAUUCGUGAAGCAUUCCAUAUUUUU